rnacentral:misc_RNA from 1 species
AAGAGGUGGGGCUACUACAUUUGGUUGCAGCAUAGGAGGUGGCAGUGAUUCUCCUACAUUGGCAUGUGAUAUGGGUGGUAUCAGCUGGGGAGUAGGCGGUGGAGCUGGUGUCAUCAACUCUUCAGAGGUCUCAGUUGUCCCAACCGUUUCAAUCUCUGGUGAUCCAUUUUCUGUACAGCAUUUUCUAGCAUCAUCUACUUUUGCAACUUUUGUUACUUCAGAGUAGCUGCUUGCUUCCAUUUCAAAAUUUUCAUCAUCUACAUUGCUUCUUUGGUUCGAGGAUUUACUUUCUGCUUCUAUUUCUUCCAUUGUUUCUUCAUUGUUCUUUAAAUUCCAAUUGCUGUAGCCUUGAGCUCCCAUGUUUGGAGGAAUGUAGAAUGAGAGGCGUUUUAUAUCAAUUGGG